CCGUGUUUAUUGUACCUUGUUGCUUCGGCGGGCCCGCCGUCUUCGG
rnacentral:rRNA from 1 species